GGCCAGCAGCCGCGGUAAUACAGAGGUCCCGAGCGUUGUUCGGAUUCACUGGGCGUAAAGGGUGCGUAGGUGGUGGGGUAAGUCGGAUGUGAAAUCUCGGAGCUCAACUCCGAAAUGGCAUUGGAAACUGCCCUGCUUGAGGGUCGGAGGGGGGACUGGAAUUCUCGGUGUAGCAGUGAAAUGCGUAGAUAUCGAGAGGAACACCAGUGGCGAAGGCGAGUCCCUGGACGACACCUGACACUGAGGCACGAAAGCUAGGGGAGCAAACAGGAUUAGAUACCCUGGUAGUCCUAGCCGUAAACGGUGCACGUUUGCUGUAAAAGGAAUCGACCCCUUUUGUGGCGUAGCUAACGCGUUAAACGUGCCGCCUGGGAAGUACGGUCGCAAGAUUAAAACUUAAAGGAAUUGGCGGGGGAC
rnacentral:rRNA from 1 species